AACAAGUAAGCCUGCAGUGCGAGAGCGAAGUGCUCUAAUAGGGUGAUAUGGUACUACAAGGUCAUUAAGAUAAGAUGGGGCCUGAUUAUUUAAGACCUUGUAUGUGAGGAGCAAGAUUUUUUACAGAGUCAUUGUUAAUAAAGUUAAACUAAUGACAGGUGUAUUAGUUGUGGUGACACCCCAUUAGAUGCUAAAUGACAGUUCACACCAUGGUGAGAGCUGGGUGAACUCUUUCAGUGACCAGCCUCAGACUCUCAGUUCUCCAAUGGCUUUUUUGUAUUAUUGUGUAACUUGGGUCAUCACGAUGGGGCUUCCCCUGUUUGCACUGGCAGUCAGAAAUCCCCUGCACAGCCUGCAACUCGCUGGAAAGAAAGAAAAGAAAAUCUGGCAAUUAUUUAUUACUGUAGGUACAUGGAGGCUGAUCAAUACUGGAUCUUUGCUUAUUCCAAAGAAUAAAACAGUUCUAAUGUGAAUAUAUGAGACUGUCCUGUCUCAGACAUUAUCCAGUUAACUGGCCUCUACGGUCUGAAGAAGCACAAGGUAAAUGUGCUGGGUUCAUGACGCUCCCAGCAUUUUGGCCAUCAUCAUCAUCAUCUUCUCAUUUUGAAACCAGACAUGGUGAGCGAGGGAGGAGAACGAACCCGAAGCUAAAAUAAAGUAAGACAAGUGAAAGCAGAAGGUGGUGCAGACCACAGCCUGCUGAGGGAAGGCGUGGUGUGUUUAUACCUGAACUCAGGUAAGUGGCAGAAAACUGAGACAAAUGAACCAACUAAGAAAAAGAAUAAAUCACUCAAAGAUCAAACUUGAGGCUCUGAGAGCUGCUGGUUACUGCUGUAUUUGUUAGGUAUGUAUAUUUGAUAGUGUGCACCGAGAGAAGACGCGGUCCCAGCAUGCUUCAUAUCUGCGACUGUGUCGGGUUUGAGCCCCAGCAAACACAAAGAAUCUGUACAACAAAAGAAAUCAUAGCAAGCUUGAAUAUUUCUGUAUGUCAUCCAUAUAAAAACAGGAUUUUACAGCAUGUAGGUCUGUUAGCCUGUGGGGUCCAAGCAGCCUCUCUCACAUGGGUUAAUGUUCAUACUGAACAACACUGGUAUGCAUAUUAUUGCACCUGUGUGUAAGGAGCGCCGGCUCUCUGAAAUGACCACGCUGCCUGUUUGUUUAUUAAAGAUUACCUGGGCCAAUCAGACGGCUGCUUGGACAAUGUUUUUUAACUGAAUCGACCAAAAUAAAGCAUUUUGCUUCGUUUUCUUCCUAAACAAACACACACAAACAUUCCAACACAAGGACCUGAUCCCAUGUGUAAAACACGCUGGUAGUGAUAUAAUGAAGUGUUGGCCACGUCUGAAACAGCCAAAUCAAAGUCUUCACUUUAUUCCAACAGAAAUGUCUGAAGAAAGCAGCGAGGAAAGCCCGUGCUCGACACAGAGGAACUGGAUGAAAGGUUCACACAUUUGCCACUCACAGAUAUAGUGUAUUUAUUUAUUGUUGUAACACUUUUAACAUUUUAGGUCACAUCUACACAGAAACAGGAAACUCUAAAGAGUUCCAGACCUUUGAACCACCAUUAAGUAUGUGGAAAACAGCAUCUUGUAUAACAGUCAGAUAAUAAAUAAGAAAAAGCAUUUACAGUACACAGAAAUGCACACAGAAAACAAGGUGUGCAUGUGAGGAAGUCAGCAUAGUGUAUACUUCUUGUUUAAGUUCCCACUUCCUAAUUUUUGUGGAAAACUGUGAAACACUUGUUGAAAUUUUAGGGUAGUGUCCCCAAAAUGAAACGCAGUGAUGUCGUUCAGGGAUUUAAAAAACAAA